rnacentral:rRNA from 1 species
UGGGGAAUAUUGCACAAUGGGCGCAAGCCUGAUGCAGCGACGCCGCGUGAGGGAUGACGGCCUUCGGGUUGUAAACCUCUUUCAGUAGGGAAGAAGCGAAAGUGACGGUACCUGCAGAAGAAGCGCCGGCUAACUACGUGCCAGCAGCCGCGGUAAUACGUAGGGCGCAAGCGUUAUCCGGAAUUAUUGGGCGUAAAGAGCUCGUAGGCGGUUUGUCGCGUCUGCCGUGAAAGUCCGGGGCUCAACUCCGGAUCUGCGGUGGGUACGGGCAGACUAGAGUGAUGUAGGGGAGACUGGAAUUCCUGGUGUAGCGGUGAAAUGCGCAGAUAUCAGGAGGAACACCGAUGGCGAAGGCAGGUCUCUGGGCAUUAACUGACGCUGAGGAGCGAAAGCAUGGGGAGCGAACAGGAUUAGAUACCCUGGUAGUCCAUGCCGUAAACGUUGGGCACUAGGUGUGGGGGACAUUCCACGUUUUCCGCGCCGUAGCUAACG